GAGUAACGCGUGGGUGAUCUGCCCUGCACUUCGGGAUAAGCCUGGGAGACUGGGUCUAAUACCGGAUAGGAGCCAUUUUUAGUGUGAUGGUUGGAAAGUUUUUUCGGUGUAGGAUGAGCUCGCGGCCUAUCAGCUUGUUGGUGGGGUAAUGGCCUACCAAGGCGGCGACGGGUAGCCGGCCUGAGAGGGUGGACGGCCACAUUGGGACUGAGAUACGGCCCAG
rnacentral:rRNA from 1 species